GGACGACUCAACGGCAUCGCGUCUUGCUUCCCACCGCGAAUAAGUCGACGCGCACCACACGCACCCACCCACUCCCUAUCCUCCUCGGUCGCUGUGUCCGGUGUUGUCCGGUUCUGUAUCCGUGCCUGGUGCCUCUUCACCCCUCGACUUCGCCGAAGCGCACCCCCUGAUACAGGGAGGCAGACCAUGGACCGAAAUUGCCCUUCGCGCACCUCACGUCGCUGCGCAUGUGCGCCGUGGCGACGGAGAGUGCUGCUUGUGUGUGCAUGGGCAGUAACUGCGGUCUUGCUAAGCAACUGCGCGCUUGCCUGGCCACAGUUUCUUUACUUGAGGCGCCGCGAAGAGCUGCCUGCGGCAGUGCAGGCGGAUGCGGAUGACGCGCGCGCGCACGCACCCCCUCGGCUGUUCCCCGGUGCGAUGGAGCGUGGAGAGCAAGCCCGCAUGCUCUGGGAGGAGGCCGAGGCAAAAGGGCGGCUGAGCCCGUGCUGGAAGCGGUCCCUGCAGCUGCUGCAUGCCAAGUGCGCCGAGGUGCGGAACGAGGACACCAUGCGCAGCCGGCUGGCACUCUUUAUGGCCACGUGUGACGCGAAUAGCGACGGACGCGCCCACCCGAGCUUUCAUUGUGGCUCUGCUGCUACGCAGCCGUCAGAACUGUCGGCUCAUGCCGUGCGCCAGUGCGUGCAAGGGUUGUCCGACAGCGCCUACGCAGCCUUCUUGCAGUACCGCCUUCACGCAGACGUGUUGUGCGCCUAUUUGGAGGAGGAGUUGUACCAGCAGCGCACUGAAGCCGCGGUCGCCGCAAUGCACCUGCAGAUGCAGCGCAGCUCACACAUGCUGACUGCGCUGCAGCACUCUGGCGCGGAGGUGGUGGCCCUCAUGAAGGACUCGCAGACGCUCCAGCAAGAGUCGCGCGAGGCUGCGUCGUCCUUGCUCCAUCAACUCGGCCUUCUCCACAACGGCCAGGCAGCGGCGCUGCAGUCUCUGCAGCAGGCUGUCAGUGCCAUUUUGCGCACCAGCAGUCACACCGACGCGGCGCUCGGCGAGCUGCACACGCGCGUGCAGGGGGCCGCUGCCGAAGCGCUCGCCUCUGUUCAAGCCCUCAGCCAGGAGACUUUCAAGAGGUUUGCCGAGGUGGAGGCGCAAACGCGCGGUGUGGUGCGGCUCAUGCAGCAAAUGGACGCGCUGCAUCAACUGCUGGCCCGUCAACGGCUUCCGCGGCAUCGCAUGGCUUGGGUGCUUGGAUGCCUUUGUGGUGUGCUGGCUCUCACAUGCCUCCCGCAGACGGCAGCUGCACGGCUGCCGGCGACCUUGCUCACCGUCGUCGGGUGUGCUGGGGUACCGCUGCUGCGGUGGUGGACCGGACGGGCGCAGUGGCUCUUCCUGCACGAAACGGCGUGGGAGUCCCUAUGCUUGUCGCUGGCCGUGGGGCUUGUUGGCUACUGCGCCCACCGCCACACACCGUCCGACACGUGUCGGCGCCGAAGACUGGCGCGGGAGGAGGCAAUACGUCUGUGUGGUGAGCUACAGCUGCAGCAGCAGCUUGGUGGUGCAAUGCUGCAACCGUAUGCGCCUCAAAUCCCCAUCCUGGGUCUUCAGCCCCACCCAUGCAUGGUGCGGAGCGAUGCGCCUGAGGCAUCCCUGAGCGUCGCCCACGCAUGGCCUCCGCUGUCCAUCGUGGUGUCUCCACGCGACGACGAGGUGGAAGCGACCUCGACCACAGCCGACGGCUCCCACUGCACCGCAUCCAACGAGGGCUCUUUGAGUUUACCGGACGAGGUGUCCAGCGCUGCUAGCACACCAAACCGCAAGCGCGGUCGCCCGUUCACUGCAGGCGACGACGCCGCUCGCCAUCACGCCACGGCCCGCACCAGGCGCUCGACGGCACGCAGCACCUGCCGAACGACACGCAGGAAAGGAUAAGCACCCUUUUCCCCGCCUCGGAUGCGCGUAUGCCUGUGUGCGUGGCGAGUGGGGUCUCUUCGCCGGUCCUCCACCUCCGUCUAUCUUGUGUGUAUGUGUGUCUGGGCUCCUCUCCCUCCCUCCCUCCCUCCCCUUCUCCGCAGCUCGCUGCUCUUCUUCUUUUUGUUUUCCGCUUCUCAUGGGGCGGAGGGUUAGGCAGGGAGGGGAAAGGGGGAGGGGGGUACUUAGUCCGUGCGAUACCCCGCAGUGUAGGCCCUGUGACGCUGCACCCUUUUGCUUCCCCCCCUCCUCCCCUCCCAUGCUGACCGGAUAGUGGGCACGCACACGCACGCGGUCCCUCCGCUCCCCUGUUCUCUAUUCGUUAUCCCUCCCCUCCCCCCCCCUCUCCUCUGUUCGCUGGUUUAUUCCCCGUUUCCACUCGCGUUUGUACGGACUCUCGUCCAUCUG
rnacentral:misc_RNA from 1 species